rnacentral:rRNA from 1 species
CAGACGAUGCGUCAUGCAUAUCAAUAAGCGGAGGAAAAGAAACUAACAAGGAUUCCCUUAGUAACGGCGAGUGAAGCGGGAAGAGCUCAAAUUUGAAAUCUUAAAGGGUUUCCCUUUACGAAUUGUAGUUUAAAGAAGUGUUUUCUGUUACGAUCGUAAUAUAAGUUCUUUGGAAUAGGACAUCACAGAGGGUGAGAAUCCCGUCUAUGAUUGCGAUUUGUAGCUUUGUGAUACACUUUCAAAGAGUCGGGUUGUUUGGGAAUGCAGUCCAAAAUGGGAUGGUAAAUUUCAUCUAAAGCUAAAUAUUGGCGAGAGACCGAUAGCGAACAAGUACCGUGAGGGAAAGAUGAAAAGAACUUUGAAAAGAGAGUUAAACAGUACGUGAAAUUGUCAAAAGGGAAGCGUUUGACACCAGUGUUGUUUUCUCGAAAAUCAAUUAAAAAUGGCUCGAUUUUGUAUUGCUGAGACCUUAAAAGCUCACUGUACAUUUUUCGUGUCUUUUUUAAUGCACUUUUCGUUUAACAAGUCAACAUCAGUUUCUUUUGUUGUAAAAGGGUCAUUGGAAGGUGGCUUUCUUUUCGGAGAAAGUGUUUAUAGCCUUUGGCCUCUGCAAUCGGAGAGACUGAGGUCUGCAGCGUAGACUCUUCGGGGUUAGAUACAUUUGUGCUAAGUUAUAGCUUUUUAUAGACAGCUUGUUGACUAUAAUUAGUCUUGUAGCUUACUCGCUUAUGCUAUUUUACCUACGCUUAGGAUGUUGACUGAUAUGUAGUCGUA